GUCAAGUUACAAAGGGCUCACGGUGGAUACCUAG
rnacentral:rRNA from 1 species